rnacentral:rRNA from 1 species
AUUGAACGCUGGCGGCAGGCCUAACACAUGCAAGUCGAGCGGUAGAGAGAGGCUUGCUUCUCUUGAGAGCGGCGGACGGGUGAGUAAUGCCUAGGAAUCUGCCUGGUAGUGGGGGAUAACGUUCGGAAACGGACGCUAAUACCGCAUACGUCCUACGGGAGAAAGCAGGGGACCUUCGGGCCUUGCGCUAUCAGAUGAGCCUAGGUCGGAUUAGCUAGUUGGUGAGGUAAUGGCUCACCAAGGCGACGAUCCGUAACUGGUCUGAGAGGAUGAUCAGUCACACUGGAACUGAGACACGGUCCAGACUCCUACGGGAGGCAGCAGUGGGGAAUAUUGGACAAUGGGCGAAAGCCUGAUCCAGCCAUGCCGCGUGUGUGAAGAAGGUCUUCGGAUUGUAAAGCACUUUAAGUUGGGAGGAAGGGCAGUUACCUAAUACGUGAUUGUUUUGACGUUACCGACAGAAUAAGCACCGGCUAACUCUGUGCCAGCCGCCGCCGUAAGAC